UCUAGUCUAGCCAUCGAUUAUUCAUAGCAUCUUAUCUACCAAAUAGAACUCAGUUCACUCGUUCUUCCUUCCCUACCUCUUCUUCUUAUUUUCUCAACUGAAGUUUAAUCAAUAACGACACUCACUACUUUCACUUCAUCAAUUUUACAAUUUUGAAAUGAAGAGAUAAAAUCAACUCAUGAAGAUUGAAUCUCUAUCUUCAUCAAAGAAGAAUAUGAAACCCAAUCUCAAAAACCCAUUAGCAGACAUUAAUUCAUCGUCUUCUACUUUUUCUAGUACUGUUUCAAUUGAAGCUUCAUCAAGAUGGUGAUGAAAGUAAUGAUAUAGGUAUGAUUCGGUCAAGGUUUGAUAAAUUGGUGAUGAUGGUCGUUGUUGAGGAAUGGAACUGAGAUUGAAUUGGUAGUCGUGAAAGUAGGUUCCAACAAGUUGAACUUGGCUGAAUUGGUGGUGUUGUAUGUGUAUAAAUUGUCAUUUAGAAGAAGGCAAAGCUUGGUCUUGUUGUUGGCUGGAGUGUAAAGUACAGGGACAAGGAGAUUUAGGGUUGUUGUUGGAUUGAAUAAAAUGCUUGAAAAGCAUAGUCAAAUAAAUUUCGUAGGAGCCGCAAGUUGAAGACAACCUCCUCACGCACAGAAAAUGCACUUCAGUUGUUCGCAGAAUUGCUUGAGAAGAAUUCUGAAGGUGGACCAGCUAACAAGAAAUGAUGUUGGGCAGUGUUGUGAUCAGUGGAUGAAGGAUGGAGUUGAGCAAGGAUAUGGUAAACAAUUUGAGGGUUCUGUCAAGAACAAGAACCUGACAUGGUGGUGUUUGGAAGAAGGGAUGAUUGAUGCACAAAGAUGAAAAAGAAAUUAAGGUUAAGUUUAGAAUGAGAUGUAUUUGUGUAUGAAGAAAUCUGAUGCAGUUGGAGUGUGGACAAUUAUUUCUGAUACUCAAUAGAUGUAUCCUAGGACUUUAAUUUGGAACUUUUGUUAAUUUUGUAAUUCUUUUUUUUCUUGAGAGCAAUUGUGUUGUUAUUUUUA